rnacentral:lncRNA from 1 species
GAAACUAAGCAUACCCACUGUAUUGUCAUAACCGAAAACAAGGAAUUAAGUGUUUGGUUCCAAAGCAAACAUCUCUUGGUUCACAAGCAGACACGAGAUUGAGCUCAAAGAGAUAAUGUAUUUGGCUUAGAGAUAGAUUAUACCACACGGAAUGAAUGAAGGUAGAUUAUGAAUGCAUCGUGGAUAUGAAUGGAGGAAUAGAAAAAAGUAACCAAG